UUGUUUUUGUAUAAUAUCUGGUAGGUUAUGCACUUCCGAAGUUUGCACAGCUGACAGUCACCUCGUAUUAUGCAUCUUCAAGUGCUUCACAUUAUGGAAUUUCUAUGCUCACCCGCCGUAUCGAAGAAGCUCAUCUCUCUCGAACUCAAAAAGAAGAGGCUGAGUUUGCACCGUUUGGUCCUUCCCCCGUAAAAUAGACAGCGACUGUCCUGUUCCGCGACUAAAAAGACUUAAGGCCUUGGGCAUAUAGACUUCAUUCAAAGGCUGUUCUAUGGAGGCAAUAAGAAGAAACAUGGUCAUGUGCCGCUGAUACUAACAACUUUUUUUUUAAGUCCAUUUUGUAUUGAUGAUCAGAGAGUAUAUGGGUAGAGAAAUGAACAAGUAAAUAUGGUAUACAGCUUGUUUGUUGAUGAUUCUCUUUGAAUUGCCCAAAAAAAGGUUUGAAAAGAAACUAAAGAAGAAAGCUUUUGAGGAAAAGCUUUAGCUUUAGGUUCUCUGUGUUGAGAAAGAUGUGAAAGCUCUCUUUGGCUAACUCUACAUUUGUAAUCAUGGACCACUUUCACUUCUCAACUC